rnacentral:misc_RNA from 1 species
GGAGGGAUCAUUACCGAGUUACCAAACUCCAAACCAUUGUGAACUUACCAUCGUUGCUUCGGCGGGCGGCUCCGGGGGAGCCUUGAAGCCAUUACGGCGCCCGCCGAAAGCCCCAAACUCUUCUGUAUUUGAAGCUUUAUUUCUGAAUACAAUCAAAUAAACAAGUAAAAACUUUCAACAACGGAUCUCUUGGUUCUGGCAUCGAUGAAGAACGCAGCGAAAUGCGAUAAGUAAUGUGAAUUGCAGAAUUCAGUGAAUCAUCGAAUCUUUGAACGCACAUUGCGCCCGCCAGUAUUCUGGCGGGCAUGCCUGUCCGAGCGUCAUUUCAACCCUUAAGCACUGCUUAGCGUUGGUGGAUUACGGGGCCUCAUGGCUCCGUAACCGCCCAAAUUUAGUGGCGGUCCCGCUGUGGCUCCCUUGCGUAGUAACUCACCUCGCACCGGUCCAGGCGGCGGCUUGCCGUAAAACACUAUUUUUAUAGAACAAGGUUGACCUCGGAUCAGGUAGGAAUACCCGCUGAACUUAAGCAUAUCAAUAAGCGGAGGAAAAGAAACCAACAGGGAUUGCCUCAGUAACGGCGAGUGAAGCGGCAACAGCUCAAAUUUGAAAUCUGGUCCCCAGGGCCCGAGUUGUAAUUUGCAGAGGAUGCUUUUGGUGAGGUGCCUUCCGAGUUCCCUGGAACGGGACGCCAUAGAGGGUGAGAGCCCCGUCUGGUUGGAUACCGAGCCUCUGUAAAGCUCCUUCGACGAGUCGAGUAGUUUGGGAAUGCUGCUCUAAAUGGGAGGUAUAUGUCUUCUAAAGCUAAAUACCGGCCAGAGACCGAUAGCGCACAAGUAGAGUGAUCGAAAGAUGAAAAGCACUUUGAAAAGAGAGUUAAAAAGUACGUGAAAUUGUUGAAAGGGAA